rnacentral:misc_RNA from 1 species
GAUGAAGAACGCAGCGAAAUGCGAUAAGUAAUGCGAAUUGCAGAAUUCCAGUGAGUCAUCGAAUCUUUGAACGCACAUUGCGCCCUUUGGUAUUCCGAAGGGCAUGCCUGUUCGAGCGUCAUUAUCACCCCUCAAGCCCUCGGCUUGGUGUUGGACGGUUUGGUGGAGGCCCCCUCGGGGGCUCCUGCCCCUCCCAAAGACAAUGACGGCGGCCUCGUUGGACCCCCGGUACACUGAGUUCUUCACGGGACACGUAUCGGACACAUGGGUCUACGGGACACGGUCUGCCUCCCCUCAGGGAGAAUCUUUCUAAGGUUGACCUCGGAUCAGGUAGGGAUACCCGCUGAACUUAAGCAUAUCAAUAAGCGGAGGA